AAUAUGGAAAUCAAUUGCUUUAUACUGCUAUCACUGUAGAAACAGGUUUGACGAUAAGUAAACUGGGAUACCUAGAAGGGAUAAAAGUCAUAAACGCGUGGGAAAAUUUCAUAAAAGAAAAGAUGAAAGAUUUUCCUCCAUCCUGUCAAAAUGCGUUUCCUACAACACCUGAGAACCUCAACCCUUGGCACUGGAUUAAAGUACAGGAGGUAUGCAAUCAAAGAGUCUCAUGAGCCACUUACAUUAUUUUGUAUUAUAAUUCGUAGAGAGGUAUUUUAUGUAGAUAUAGAAUAGGAUGUAGAACAGGAUUUUACUGAUAGAGUGGAAAUAAAGGGCGAAAAGAGA